UGGGGAAUCUUGCACAAUGGGGGAAACCCUGAUGCAGCGACGCCGCGUGAGCGAUGAAGCCCUUCGGGGUGUAAAGCUCUUUCGGCAGGGACGAUAAUGACGGUACCUGAAGAAGAAGCUGCGGCUAACUACGUGCCAGCAGCCGCGGUAAUACGUAGGCAGCGAGCGUUGUUCGGAGUUACUGGGCGUAAAGCGUGCGUAGGCGGUAGUCCAAGUCUGGUGUGAAAUCUCCCGGCUCAACCGGGAGGGUGCGCCGGAAACUGGGCUGCUGGAGUGCGGGAGGGGCAAGCGGAAUUCCAGGUGUAGCGGUGAAAUGCGUAGAUAUCUGGAGGAACACCCGUGGUGCAGACGGCUUGCUGGACCGUGACUGACGCUGAGGCACGAAAGCGUGGGUAGCAAACAGGAUUAGAUACCCUGGUAGUCCACGCCCUAAACGAUGCAUACCUGGUGUGGGCAGUUCAGUCUGUCCGUGCCGAAGUUAACGCGAUAAGUAUGCCGCCUGGGGAGUACGGUCGCAAGGCUGA
rnacentral:rRNA from 1 species